rnacentral:rRNA from 1 species
AUUACUUGGAUAACUGUGGUAAUUCUAGAGCUAAUACAUGCAAACAGAAUCCCGACCAGAGAUGGAAGGGACGCUUUUAUUAGAUCAAAACCAAUCGGGGCUUCGGCUCCGCACUUCUUGGUGACUCUGAAUAACUUUCAGCUGAUCGCACGGUCCUCGUACCGGCGACGCAUCUUAAAUGUCUGACUUAUCAACUGUC